GAUGAAGAACGUAGCGAAAUGCGAUAAGUAAUGUGAAUUGCAGAAUUCAGUGAAUCAUCGAAUCUUUGAACGCACAUUGCGCCCGCCAGUAUUCUGGCGGGCAUGCCUGUUCGAGCGUCAUUUCAACCAUCAAGCCCCAGGCUUGUGUUGGAGCCCUGCGGCUGCCGCAGCCUCCCAAAACCAGUGGCGGGCUCGCUAUCACACCGAGUGCAGUAGUUUACUCUUCGCUCAGGGCGUGUGGCGGGUGCUAGCCGUAAAACCCCCAACUUCUCAAUGUUGACCUCGGAUCAGGUAGGAAUACCCGCUGAACUUAAGCAUAUCAAUAAGCGGAGGAA
rnacentral:misc_RNA from 1 species